AUUAUAUGCCAACUUAGACCUUGCACAAGUUUUUUAAAUAAAAAAUAUACUUAAAUGUCAUCCCAUGAAUUCUUUCAGGGACCAGUGAACCUCUUUGAAGGUUGUGCACGAAUAUUCUAUGAAAGAAUUAUCCUCCACUGUGGCUAUAUCAUAUUCAUAACCUGACCUUUGCGGGUAAAGUACUCCUGAAUUUCCAAGUGAAUCAGAACCAUAGAUCAUUUUGUGAAUGAAAGUAGGAUACUAGCCUGUCUCCUUGAAAACAAGCUUCCAGUUAGUACCCAGAUCAGCAUUAUCUGGGCAGGCUGUUGGCAUUGCUCUGACUUUGUGCAUCUUUGACAUAUAAUGAAUAUUUUGUUGAUGUUUUCCUCUGCACUUAAUUAGGGCCUCUCUGCUGCUGCUAGAGAAGUCCCUUGCUUUUCUCAUGAUAUGGAAAAUGAUUCAAAGAGAAAGCACAUGCAUGUGUUUAGUUGGGUCUGACUGUUUGGGACACUUUGGAUUGUAGCCCACCAGGCUCCUCUGUCCGUGGGAUUUCCCAGGCAAAAAUACUGCGGUAGGUUGCCAUUUCCUUCUCCAGGGGAUCUUUCUGACCCAGGAAGAUCCGCAUUGCAGGUGGAUGUUUUACUCACUGAGCCAUCAGGGAAGUCCAAAAGAGAGAUGUAUAUAGGGUUAAAAAAUCAGAUACAGGAAUAGUAUAGCUGACUAGUCUACAGAUAAUAUCAAAUAUCUUCUGCAGCUCUAAAGAUGUUAUCAGGAUCAAAUGGGCACACCUUCAAUUGCAGAGCUCUAAAAGCUAGAGAUUUUUUAAUAUAACAAAGUAUUUAUUAAAAUUAUUGCUAAUUUUGCACUUUUAUAGAUUAUGUAAAGUCAAUCUCUGCUAUUUUUCCUACCUGAAGUUUUCCCUAAGAAAGUUCUUAUGGGUCAUACUAUUUAUGAAGUCUUAAAAAUCAGAAGGAAACUUUAGAAACAAAAAGAUAAGAACACCUACUGGUUACAUGUGGUUCCUGCUCCAUGUCACAUGUUUGUACUUAUCUUAACUGGGGUCUUUAGAAGUCACAUGUCACUGUGUUCUGACUUCCCAUAUUGCUAAUGGCAUGGCCAGAUAGUAUAGCAUGGCUUCACUUCCCUCUGUUUCCAUAGUCAUUAGAGCAACUGCAUUACACGAAGGGGUCUGUCAAACCAGUGGAGAAAUAAGAACUUUACUGCUUUGGAUGAUUUCAUUGAAGAAUAUCCUAGGAGAAGCUAGAAAGACUGCCAUCAGUAAGGGACAAGGGAGGUUAGUAUAAAUGUGUUACCUUUCAGUCUUGUAGAAAUUUAUUAACUUGCAUUUUUGUACAGCCAACCUGCAGUAUGUUGUGGGGAACAUUUAAUUUAUUUCAUGUAAAACAGUCAACAAAAUCUCUCCCUGGAAACUGAGAUAGUAAUACCUUCCAUCAUUCUAUUUGGUUGAUUCACUGGCUAUUGGUAGACCCAAGAAAGUUGGAAGAAAACCAAACUUGCCAUAUUCCUAUAUGCUCUGCUGUGGUAUGCGGCAUCUCUUUUGAGGGAGAGCCUGGAAAUUCUGGCACCUUUUUUUCUCAAACAUAAAAUGUGCUAGAUGCUGAUAAAUUAGACUUUAAACUCACCAGUGCAAGUUAUCUCAAAGUUUUAGCAGAGUUUAAGCAACAAUUUUAUUAUGCUUUCCCAUUAAUUAUGCAUAUUUUUCAGCAAUAGAUUUUCUUGCUCUUAAAUAGGAAAUCUGUCUCAGUUGAAAAGGGCAGCGAUCUCUCCAAGCUACCUCAAAAGGGUACUAAAAGACAAAAUGGCAGGCAACCUUUGAUUAAAUGGCAAUAUGUUAAAAGCCACAAAGCAAUAUUAUUUGUCAGCUCUUCUUGAUGCUCUUUUACUUUGUAAAUUUAGACAGACUAAAUGUGAAAGGAAUACCCUCUGUGCAAUCCUACUUGUGCAUUCUGAUUAAUAAUAUUCAUUUAUAUGAAAUCUCUCAGGACUGUUGUCUGGUAUCUCUCUGCAGACAUCUCAAAACGUGAUUCAGAACGAGAACAACGUGAUGUUGCCUAUGAGGCAGUGGCCCACAUAGUGAGGUGCACAAUCAAAUAAUCUGUGGAAUCUUCAGUAAAAAAUCCAAGUGCACUUCUUAUCAAUGGAGGGAAAACUCUUGUUUGUUUGCCCUAAGCAAACAGAAAGAGAUGAAGUUGCCAGUAUUUGGUACUGUAAUUAGGUUUUCUUUUUCACUAGAUGCCAUUACUAUUAUUUUUAGCUAAAUUGGAGUUCUGAAACAGAAGUCACUUCUGGAAACAUUAGAAUCAGUGAAGAGAAAACUGUUAGUAAGAAACACUCUCCACUCAUGCAUAGACAGUUUGUAGGAAUGAGAGUUAACAUUGAGCACUUUUAUUUCCUUUCUUCCCUAAAACAAAAACCCACUUGCUCUUAAUCCUAGCUAGUCAAACGCUAAUUUCUAUAACAAAAUAAAGGAUAAUGAUAGAAAGUGUGAAAUUGUGAGAUUCUAAUGUCUUAUCUAGAUACUUAUCUAAUGGCAAACCAGCAUUUUCAGACAUAUUUCUCUGUAAGAACAUUCUUUUGUUUAAUAUUCUGUGACAUAUAGAUUCUUACCACCUGUUGUUCAUGAAAACAACCUCACUUCUAAAAUAGUGCAAAAAACUAAUAAGCCAUUUAAAGCUCUCUUCUCUGUAAUUCUGUAUCUUGGGCUCUAAAACUAAAGCUCCUUAUUGAGGAAAGUUUAAAAAAGAAUUCUGAACAAAAAUGUCAAUGUCAAAAAAAUAUGUGUAUUUCCUAAGUUGUAUUCUCACUCCAACAUAUCUUCAAAAUCGGGAACUGCCUGAAUGCCCAGUUUUUAAAUCUCACUAAGAAGCAAGAAUUUCCAUGUGAGUCCUUCAAAAGUCUCCAAAUUCCCUGAAUUUGGUCUGUCAUCAAAAUUUAUCUCAGUUCUAUCUAAGCAAAAAAAUAAUUUAUAAACCAGAUUUUUCUGACUAUAAUAAAAAUAAAGAAAUAACAAAUUAUUCCCCAUAGGUUUACGUGUGCAAACAUAUAUUUAAUAAUUAAUCUCCUAACUCAAUCAAAGGAAAUUAUGUUGCAAAUGUUCCCUUAUUUCAUUAUUUUCAUACUUUGUGCACAGAGAUAUAAUAAUUUUAAUUUUCUCAUGAUUAUUUUGUUUAGGAACUGUGUGAUCUAAAGUCUAAAGGUAAAAAUCUUAAGAAAAAUAACACAGUCUUAGCUACUUGCAAAAAUGUCAUCUCAGUUAUAUUUAUUAUAAUACCACUAGACAAAAUUAUUCACAGUAUUUCUGGCUAUGUUGACCUUUCAUUUUAAAAACAACAAAAGUCUGGCUCCAUUAGUCAUAAUAAGGAACAGUUAGCAUAUUAAAAUAGUGAUAGAUGAGACAGGUGCUUACUCUUUCAUUAUGAGGGUCCAUUAACUUUACCAGUUCUUUCUAGGUCACAGUCUCACAUGCUUCUAACUAGGAUAGUCAUAGAUUCACUUUCCUUACUUUCAUUUCUUAUUGCUAAUAUUAAAUGCCCCACAGAAAGUCAUGUUCCAUGACCUCUUCCUCUAACCUCAGUGAGAUCCUUGGGCUCCCUAUUCUUUAGAGAAAUAUUCUUCUGGGCUAGGAAUUAAACUUCUUAAAUAUAACAUCCCAUGACAUCAUAGUGUAACAUAACAAUCUAUAUUUUUUCAAUCUUUUAUUGAAUUACAG
ensembl:lncRNA